AUUGAACGCUGGCGGCAUGCCUUACACAUGCAAGUCGAACGGCAGCACGGGGCAACCUGGUGGCGAGUGGCGAACGGGUGAGUAAUGUAUCGGAACGUACCUUUCAGUGGGGGAUAACGUAGCGAAAGUUACGCUAAUCCCGCAUAUUCUGUGAGCAGGAAAGCGGGGGACCUUCGGGCCUCGCGCCGGUGUAUGAGCCUAUGUCCGAUUAGCUAGUUGGUAGGGUAAGAGCCUACCAAGGCGACGAUCGGUAGCUGGUCUGAGAGGAUGACCAACCACACUGGGACUGAGACACGGCCCAGACUCCUACGGGAGGCAGCAGUGGGGAAUAUUGGACAAUGGGGGCAACCCUGAUCCAGCAAUGCCGCGUGUGUGAAGAAGGCCUUCGGGUUGUAAAGCUCUUUCGGCCGGGAAGAAAUCGCACGGGCUAAUACCCUGUGUGGAUGACGGUACCGGAAUAAGAAGCACCGGCUAACUACGUGCCAGCCGCCGCAGUAAAAC
rnacentral:rRNA from 1 species